rnacentral:pre_miRNA from 1 species
CUAUGCUUGACUCCUUGCUUUCCUCAAGUAUUCACCAGUAUUCUGUGAAUUCUUGAGGAAAGCAAGGAGUCAAGCAUAG